rnacentral:rRNA from 1 species
CGUACACUCCUACGGGAGGCAGCAGUGGGGAAUAUUGGACAAUGGGCGCAAGCCUGAUCCAGCCAUGCCGCGUGAGUGAUGAAGGCCCUAGGGUUGUAAAGCUCUUUCACCGGUGAAGAUAAUGACGGUAACCGGAGAAGAAGCCCCGGCUAACUUCGUGCCAGCAGCCGCGGUAAUACGAAGGGGGCUAGCGUUGUUCGGAUUUACUGGGCGUAAAGCGCACGUAGGCGGACUAUUAAGUCAGGGGUGAAAUCCCGGGGCUCAACCCCGGAACUGCCUUUGAUACUGGUAGUCUUGAGUUCGAGAGAGGUGAGUGGAAUUCCGAGUGUAGAGGUGAAAUUCGUAGAUAUUCGGAGGAACACCAGUGGCGAAGGCGGCUCACUGGCUCGAUACUGACGCUGAGGUGCGAAAGCGUGGGGAGCAAACAGGAUUAGAUACCCGAGUAGUCCCAUGA